AGCUCCAAUAGCGUAUAUUAAAGUUGUUGCGGUUAAAAUGCUCGUAGUUGGAUUUCUGCCAAGGUAGACCGGUCCGCCCUCUGGGUGAGUAUCUGGAUCGGCCUAGGCAUUUCUUUGGGCAACGUAGCUGCACUUGACUGUGUGGUGCGGUGUCCAAUACAUUUACUUUGAAUAAAUUUAAGUGCUUCAAGCAGGCAUAUCACUCCAUGAAAAUAUUAGCAUGGAAUAAUAAAACAGGACAUUGGCUAUAUUUUGUUGGUUUCUAGUGCUUUGGUAAUGAUUAAUAGGGAUAGUUGGGGGCAUUCGUAUUUAAUUGUCAGAGGCGAAAUUCUUGGAUUUGUUAAAGACGAACUACUGCGCAAGCACUUGCCAAAUAUGUUUUCAUUGAUCAAGAACGAAA
rnacentral:rRNA from 1 species